rnacentral:rRNA from 1 species
UACAGAGGUCUCAAGCGUUGUUCGGAUUCAUUGGGCGUAAAGGGUGCGUAGGCGGCGCGGUAAGUCGGGUGUGAAAUCUUGGAGCUUAACUCCGAAACUGCAUUCGAUACUGCCGUGCUUGAGGACUGGAGAGGAGACUGGAAUUUACGGUGUAGCGGUGAAAUGCGUAGAUAUCGUAAGGAAGACCAGUGGCGAAGGCGGGUCUCUGGACAGUUCCUGACGCUGAGGCACGAAGGCCAGGGGAGCAAACGGA